ensembl:lncRNA
GGAAGGGCUGCGGCCGUCGGUGGCAUCUCCAGGUGUCACUGAGCUCCUGGGCCAGGAGCCUCCCUGUGGGUGCAGCCGAGCACUGAGCACCACGGGGACACAGCGCCAAGGUCCGGGUCGGUGGGACGUUUUGGACACUGCUGCCCCAAGGAUAACUGAUAACUGCGCCCACCCUUGAGCUGCAGCCUGUAGUUCAGAGAAAGCAACAGGCUGAGCUUAAAGGUGAUGCUGCGUUCGCCUCUGGAGGAGGAGACAAAAGCAGAGACACCCCGGAAUGUCACUGCUGACCCCCGGUUUUGUGCUGCUAAAGCAAAAGCAGAGCAGUUGCACGCAGCGGCAGAGCCAGUAAGCAGCAAAGGCAGAAGAUAACUUUGGUCUCCUGUAUCAGCCUCGUGGCUGCAGCAGGGUGCGUGCCAGCGGGCUCAGCCAACAGGUGAGGGCUGGAGCAGCUCUCGGAGCGAUGGAUGACAUUGAACUGAGAGUGGCGGGAGGAAAUGGAACGGUGCAAAAUGCAAAGUCAUGCCCUGCGCUCACCGAAUGAGUGUUUGUGCCAUGCGUUAGGAGCCUGGGCUGGGAAAUGCAACCAGCAGCCCCGGGAUGAAUGCGGACUGCAGCCCCAGAGACGUGGUGGGUUAACUCUGCUGGGAUGUGUGUGCAGGAGAGGCAGUGCCAGGCCGAACAGAGCACAGCUCACAGACAUCGAGCAGCCCUGCUGAAAAACACUCAUAUAGGAAAGGAGCAGAGGAGAGCGGCUGAAGGAAUGCAGAGCAGAGGUGGGAGCAGCACGGAGUGAUAGCGCAUGGAACGGGCGAUAAGAUUGCUCGGGGUGGUUUAUCAGCACCCAGCAGCAGAGCAGCAGGAGAUCUGCUCCAAGCGAUGGAUGGACUCUGCAUACAAAGGACAUUGGUACCGAAUGGCUGAAAGCCUGGGGGCUGCUGGGGGGUGGGGGUGGGGG